UAGUGGUCCUGGCUUAACCCUGAGGA
rnacentral:piRNA from 1 species